rnacentral:rRNA from 1 species
UACGUAGGGCGCAAGGCGUUGUCCGGAAUUAUUGGGCGUAAAGAGCUCGUAGGCGGUCUGUCACGUCUGCCGUGAAAACCCGAGGCUUAACCUCGUGGCUUGCGGUGGAUACGGGGCAGACUAGAGGUAGGUAGGGGAGAACGGAAUUCCCGGUGUAGCGGUGAAAUGCGCAGAUAUCGGGAGGAACACCGGUGGCGAAGGCGGUUCUCUGGGCCUUACCUGACGCUGAGGAGCGAAAGCAUGGGGAGCGAACAGG